rnacentral:rRNA from 1 species
UACGGGGGGGGCAAGCGUUGUUCGGAAUUACUGGGCGUAAAGGGCUCGUAGGCGGCCAACUAAGUCAUACGUGAAAUCCCUCGGCUUAACCGGGGAACUGCGUCUGAUACUGGAUGGCUUGAGUUCGGGAGAGGGAUGCGGAAUUCCAGGUGUAGCGGUGAAAAUGCGUAGAUAUCUGGAGGAACACCAGUGGCGAAGGCGACUUUCUGGCCUGUUCUUGACGCUGAGGCGCGAAAGCUAGGGGAGCAAACGGGG